rnacentral:rRNA from 1 species
ACGGGAGGCAGCAGUCGGGAAUUUUGCGCAAUGGAGGAAACUCUGACGCAGUGACGCCGCGUGCAGGAAGAAGGUUUUCGGAUUGUAAACUGCUUUAGACAGGGAAGAAACAAGACAGUACCUGUAGAAUAAGCUCCGGCUAACUACGUGCCAGCAGCCGCGGUAAUACGUAGGGAGCAAGCGUUAUCCGGAUUUAUUGGGUGUAAAGGGUGCGUAGACGGGAAAAUAAGUUAGCUGUGAAAUCCCUCGGCUUAACCGAGGAACUGCAACUAAAACUGUUUUUCUUGAGUGCUGGAGAGGAAAGUGGAAUUCCUAGUGUAGCGGUGAAAUGCGUAGAUAUUAGGAGGAACACCAGUGGCGAAGGCGACUUUCUGGACAGUAACUGACGUUGAGGCACGAAAGUGUGGGGAGCAAACAGGAUUAGAUACCCUGGUA